rnacentral:rRNA from 1 species
GAUGAACGCUGGCGGCGUGCCUAAUACAUGCAAGUAGAACGCUGAAGUAGGUGCUUGCUCUUCUGGAUGAGUUGCGAACGGGUGAUUAACGCGUAGGUAACCUUCCUGGUAGCGGGGGAUAACUAUUGGAAACGCUAGCUACUACCGCAUGACAACAGUUAUUGCAUUAUAACUGUUUAAAAGGGGCAACUGCUCCACUACCAUAUGGAUCUGCGUUGUAUUAGCUAGUUGGUGAGGUAACGGGUCACCAAGGCGACGAUACAUAGCCGACCUGAGAGGGUGGAGGGCCAGACUGUGAGUGAGAAAGGGCCCAGACACCGAGGGGGAGAAGCAGUAGGGAAUCUUAGGCAAUGGAGGGAAGUCUGACCGAGCAACGCCGCGGGAGUGAAGAAGGGUCUAGGAUCGGAAAGCUCUGUUGUAAGAGAAGAACGAGAGUGAGAGUGGAAAGUUCACACUGUGACGGUAUCUUAACAGAAAGGGACGGCUAACUACGUG